GAUGAACGCUAGCGGCAGGCCUAAUACAUGCAAGACGAACGGUAAGUUGAGUAGCAAUACUUGACCUAGAGUGUCGCACGGGUGCGUAACACGUAUGCAACCUACCCAUAACAGGAGGAUAGCUCCCCGAAAGGGGAAUUAACCCUCCAUAGUAUAAUUGGAUGGCAUCAUUUGAUUAUUAAAACUGAGGUGGUUAUGGAUGGGCAUGCGUCUGAUUAGUUAGUUGGCGGUGUAACGGACCACCAAGACGAUGAUCAGUAGGGGAACUGAGAGGUUGAUCCCCCACACUGGCACUGAGAUACGGGCCAGACUCCUACGGGAGGCAGCAGUAGGGAAUAUUGGUCAAUGGAUGGAAGUCUGAACCAGCCAUGCCGCGUGCAGGAAGAAGGCCUUAUGGGUUGUAAACUGCUUUUGCCAGGGGAUAAAAUAGCUGUGCGCAGCGAAUUGCAGGUACCUGGUGAAUAAGCCACGGCUAACUACGUGCCAGCAGCCGCGGUAAUACGUAGGUGGCAAGCGUUGUCCGGAUUUAUUGGGUUUAAAGGGUGCGUAGGCGGCCCUGUAAGUCAGUGGUGAAAUACUCCAGCUUAACUGGAGGGGUGCCAUUGAUACUGCAGGGCUUGAGUAAAGUUGAAGUUGGCGGAAUUGACGGUGUAGCGGUGAAAUGUUUAGAUAUCGUCAAGAACACCGAUAGUGAAGACAGCUAACUAAGCUUUAACUGACGCUGAGGCACGAAAGUGUGGGGAUCAAACAGGAUUAGAUACCCUGGUAGUCCACACUGUAAACGUUGAUGACUCGCUGUUGGCGAUACACAGCCAGCGGCCAAGCGCAAGCGAUAAGUCAUCCACCUGGGGAGUACGCCGGCAACGGUG
rnacentral:rRNA from 1 species